UAUACCCCAACCUGCACGGCAGUAACGACCCGAGGAACCGGUUUCAACGUUCGGGGGCCGGCGGGCCUUCGGGCUCGGCGUCCCUUUAUCCCGGGAGCCCGCUCCCGGGCGUACAAAUCGAACACCGGCGCGUGCUGCGCCAAGGAACUCGAACGAAAGAGCGAGCUCCCGCCGCCCCAGAAACGGUGCGCGCGCGGGCGCGUCGUCGUCUUCAGUAUGUCAAAACGACUCUCGGCAACGGAUAUCUCGGCUCUCGCAUCGAUGAAGAACGUAGCGAAAUGCGAUACUUGGUGUGAAUUGCAGAAUCCCGUGAACCAUCGAGUCUUUGAACGCAAGUUGCGCCCGAAGCCGUCAGGCCGAGGGCACGCCUGCCUGGGCGUACAACGCCGUUGCCCCUCCACGCCCUCCAUCGGGAGCGUCCGGGGAGCGGACGAUGGCCUACCGUGCGUCACCCCGCGCGGUUUGGCACAAAUGCCGGGUCCUCGGCGACGAACGCCACAGACAAUCGGUGGUCGUCCGACCUCGGUUGCCCGUUGUGCGCCUUNNUNCCCUAAAAANNGNUUNGNAANCUUGNUGNUNCGGGAAACCCUNGANNUUUUAA
rnacentral:misc_RNA from 1 species